GUAACCUAGACCCAAGAUGCAAGUUCAUGGAUUGCAAGACAGGAGGCCAAACACUGAAACAGCAUCUGACAAAAGUCUUCUUGAUACGCAUCGAAUCCUGACCUGGGCUGGAAAGUAAUUUUUGUGAACAUAUUUACAGAAUGAUGUGUAACAGAUCCAGCAAAGGCUGAAGGCUGGUAAUAGUGACUGAUGUAGUACCAUGGAGAAAAGAAACCUGAACACUGCUCUCCAAGGAGGCUGAGCGAGGAGUGAGGGCUGAUAUGUUGAAUGCCUCCCUGCAAAUCUUGAAUCCAGCCUUGCCAUGGUUUGCUCGCUCGUUAAGCCAAUGGGUAUUGCACCGAGGUAAAACCACAGGAGAAUUUUUUGUAUUCUGUAGCUGACAAAGGGAAUGUCCUGAAUUUAUUCUAAUGGCAUGGUUUUACCUUCAGGUAGGUGUUGGCAUGUGCAAACUAUUUCAAAAUGUCUGCUGCAAUGACUGCAAGCAUGAAAUGGUCCAUAGGAGGUUACAUAUGCAAGCACACUGUCUGUGGGCAGGGUGUAUA